rnacentral:rRNA from 1 species
CCUACGGGUGGCUGCAGUGGGGAAUAUUGGGCAAUGGGCGCAAGCCUGACCCAGCAACGCCGCGUGAAGGAUGAAGGUUUUCGGAUUGUAAACUUCUGUCGCGAGGGACGAAGAAUGACGGUACCUGACCAAGAAGCCCCGGCUAACUACGUGCCAGCAGCCGCGGUAAUACGUAGGGGGCAAGCGUUAUCCGGAAUUACUGGGUGUAAAGGGAGCGUAGACGGUUAAGUAAGUCUGGAGUGAAAGGCCGGGGCCCAACCCCGGGACUGCUCUGGAAACUAUUGAACUUGAGUGCAGGAGAGGUAAGCGGAAUUCCUAGUGUAGCGGUGAAAUGCGUAGAUAUUAGGAGGAACACCAGUGGCGAAGGCGGCUUACUGGACUGUAACUGACGUUGAGGCUCGAAAGCGUGGGGAGCAAACAGGAUUAGAUACCCCUGUAGUC